rnacentral:rRNA from 1 species
UUUGUAGAAUGAACCGGCGAGUUACGUUAUGAUGCGAGGUUAAGUUGAAGAGACGGAGCCGUAGGGAAACCGAGUCUGAACAGGGCGAAUUAGUAUCAUGACGUAGACCCGAAACCAUGUGACCUACCCAUGAGCAGGUUGAAGGUGCGGUAAGACGCACUGGAGGACCGAACCAGGGCACGUUGAAAAGUGCUUGGAUGACUUGUGGGUAGCGGAGAAAUUCCAAACGAACUUGGAGAUAGCUGGUUCUCUCCGAAAUAGCUUUAGGGCUAGCGUCGACAUUAGAGAUUCUUGGAGGUAGAGCACUGUUUGGGUGAGGGGUCCAUCCCGGAUUACCAAUCUCAGAUAAACUCCGAAUGCCAAUGAAUUAUGGUCGGCAGUCAGACUGCGAGUGCUAAGAUCCGUAGUCGAAAGGGAAACAGCCCAGACCACCAGCUAAGGUCCCAAAAUAAUUGUUAAGUGGAAAAGGAUGUGGGGUUGCACAGACAACUAGGAUGUUAGCUUAGAAGCAGCUAUUCAUUCAAAGAGUGCGUAAUAGCUCACUAGUCGAGUGACCCUGCGCCGAAAAUGUACCGGGGCUAAAACAAUUUACCGAAGCUGUGGAUACCUUUAUAGGUAUGGUAGGAGAGCGUUCUAUGUGUGAUGAAGGUAUACCGUGAGGAGUGCUGGAACGCAUAGAAGUGAGAAUGCCGGUAUGAGUAGCGAAAGACAGGUGAGAAUCCUGUCCACCGUAAGACUAAGGUUUCCAGGGGAAGGCUCGUCCGCCCUGGGUUAGUCGGGACCUAAGGAGAGACCGAAAGGUGUAUCCGAUGGACAACAGGUUGAUAUUCCUGUACUAGAGUAUGUAGUGAUGGAGGGACGCAGUAGGCUAACUAAAGCAGACGAUUGGAAGAGUCUGUCUAAGCAGUGAGGUGUGAAUUGAGUCAAAUGCUUAAUUCUAUAACAUUGAGCUGUGAUGGGGAGCGAAGUUUAGUAGCGAAGUUAGUGACGUCACACUGCCAAGAAAAGCUUCUAGCGUUUAAACAUACUCUACCCGUACCGCAAACCGACACAGGUAGUCGAGGCGAGUAGCCUCAGGUGAGCGAGAGAACUCUCGUUAAGGAACUCGGCAAAAUGACCCCGUAACUUCGGGAGAAGGGGUGCUGACUUUAGGUCAGCCGCAGUGAAUAGGCCCAAGCAACUGUUUAUCAAAAACACAGCUCUCUGCUAAAUCGUAAGAUGAUGUAUAGGGGGUGACGCCUGCCCGGUGCUGGAAGGUUAAGAGGAGUGCUUAGCGUAAGCGAAGGUAUGAAUUGAAGCCCCAGUAAACGGCGGCCGUAACUAUAACGGUCCUAAGGUAGCGAAAUUCCUUGUCGGGUAAGUUCCGACCCGCACGAAAGGCGUAAUGAUUUGGGCACUGUCUCAACGAGAGACUCGGUGAAAUUUUAGUACCUGUGAAGAUGCAGGUUACCCGCGACAGGACGGAAAGACCCCAUGGAGCUUUACUGCAGUUUGAUAUUGAGUGUCUGUACCACAUGUACAGGAUAGGUAGGAGUCUAAGAGAUCGGGACGCCAGUUUCGAAGGAGACGCUGUUGGGAUACUACCCUUGUGUUAUGGCCACUCUAACCCAGAUAGGUGAUCCCUAUCGGAGACAGUGUCUGACGGGCAGUUUGACUGGGGCGGUCGCCUCCUAAAAGGUAACGGAGGCGCCCAAAGGUUCCCUCAGAAUGGUUGGAAAUCAUUCGCAGAGUGUAAAGGUAUAAGGGAGCUUGACUGCGAGAGCUACAACUCGAGCAGGGACGAAAGUCGGGCUUAGUGAUCCGGUGGUUCCGUAUGGAAGGGCCAUCGCUCAACGGAUAAAAGCUACCCUGGGGAUAACAGGCUUAUCUCCCCCCAAGAGUUCACAUCGACGGGGAGGUUUGGCACCUCGAUGUCGGCUCGUCGCAUCCUGGGGCUGUAGUCGGUCCCAAGGGUUGGGCUGUUCGCCCAUUAAAGCGGCACGCGAGCUGGGUUCAGAACGUCGUGAGACAGUUCGGUCCCUAUCCGUCGCGGGCGUAGGAAAUUUGAGAGGAUCUGCUCCUAGUACGAGAGGACCAGAGUGGACUUACCGCUGGUGUACCAGUUGUCUUGCCAAAGGCAUCGCUGGGUAGCUAUGUAGGGAAGGGAUAAACGCUGAAAGCAUCUAAGUGUGAAACCCACCUCAAGAUGAGAUUUCCCAUGAUUAUAUAUCAGUAAGAGCCCUGAGAGAUGAUCAGGUAGAUAGGUUAGAAGUGGAAGUGUGGCGACACAUGUAGCGGACUAAUACUAAUAGCUCGAGGACUUAUCCA